rnacentral:lncRNA from 1 species
AAAGGCUAAGUGCAAGUAUACACUGCAAAAGUUAUAGUAUAAAAAGAUAUCGAUCCCAUAGAGACUGUGGAGCUAUGGCUUUGCGUAGCUUUUCUGCAGAAAACAUGUUUGGAGAAAAAUAAAAUAUAACAUUUUUCACAACAAUAAAAGUAAAAGGUUAAGUUUGGGAAAACAGUUAAAGUCUUUAGAAAAUCUCAAGAUGAAAAGUGUGGUUUUGAACAAGGUUUAAUUAUGAUAAAACAUUACUGCGAUUUACAGAGCUAUAACUUAGGUAUAGCUGCAUGUGUCGCUCAGAGCUCUAGCUGGUUCAAAUCAUAUUUAGUAUGAGAUACACAACGCUAUAUCUUGAUAUAGCUACUUUGUCUCACAGGAUUUUAGCCGUUUAUUAGUUUCUCGCAACUAUGUGAUCCAUAGAGCUAUAUCUCUCAUAACCGGCUUCAAGGCAAACCAAAUGGUCUAUUAGGAGAUGUUCACUCCACCAUCGUGUUGAGCUACAUGAUGGCAUCAUAAUUAAGGGCACGAUCACGGUACAUAACACGCACAAUUUGUAGGUUCAGGUACCCGACCUUUCCGCUGGAGGGUAUUAAGCUAUCAUAUUCUAUUUCCAUAUGACAAGAGUCAUACCAAGACCAUAGUGUUAAGUUAUAACAUUGUAUAGCUCUAGUGAUUCUCAACGCUAUGACCGUUUAUUAACCUCUGAAGCUAACUGAGAUUCACAGAGCUAUAACUUCCUAUAUCAUCAACUCUACAUUAAAGACUCUUGACUCUUUCACCGGUAAGUGCUUAAGGGAAAAUUCACAUCUAAUAAACAUUUUCCACUCCCUUGCCCUAUCACUUGAUAAAGGAGCUAUAACAUUAGAAAUAAAAGUUGUCAGCUUUUAUUUCUAAAAUUUUUGAGUUAAAACAGUUUGUUAGAAUAAAGCAUGGCAGUACAACUUUAUAUAUCGCAAGUAAAUUAAUAAAUCAUAACCUCACCGUGUCUAAAUCACUUGAAGGGGUUUAGCUCAUGGUGAGCUGAACCAUGAAAAUGGAAAUGAAGAUGGAAA